GAAGUACUCCCUCCGUCCGAAAAUACUUGUCAUCAAAAUGGAUAAAAAAGAUUGUAUCUAAAACUAAAAUACGUCUAGAUGUAUCCACUUUUAUUUAUUUUGGUGACAAGUAUUUUCGAACGAAGGAAGUACGUC
rfam:Triticum aestivum genome assembly, contig: Triticum_aestivum_CS42_TGACv1_scaffold_559929_7AL